rnacentral:rRNA from 1 species
GCGUAGGUGGUUCUGUGUGUCGGAUGUGAAAGCCCGGGGCUCAACUCCGGAAUUGCAUUCGAAACUGCAGGACUAGAGUACAGGAUGGGAGAGCGGAAUUCUUGGUGUAGCGGUGAAAUGCGUUGAUAUCAAGAAGAACACCGGUGGCGAAGGCGGCUCUCUGGAAUGUUACUGACACUGAGGCACGAAAGCUGGGGGGGCAAACAGGAUUAGAUACCCUGGUAGUCCCAGCCGUAAACGGUGUGCACUUGGUGUUGGCGGUAUUGACCCCGCCAGUGCCGGAGCUAACGCGUUAAGUGCACCGCCUGGGGAGUACGGCCGCAAGGUUAAAACUCAAAGAAAUUGACGGGGGCCCGCACAAGCGGAGGAGCAUGUGGCUUAAUUCGAUGCAACGCGAAGAACCUUACCUGGGUUUGACAUCGGAGAGGCUUGCCUCUAGCGCGUGAAAGCGCGUUAACCUGACAGGUGCUGCAUGGCUGUCGUCAGUUCGUGCCGUGAGGUGUUGGGUUAAGUCCCGCAACGAACGCAACCCUUGUGUUUAGUUGCCACCCCCGAGCAAUCGGGGCGCACUCUAAACAGACUGCCCGUACAAGCGGGAGGAAGGUGGGGAUGACGUCAAGUCCGUAUGGCCCUUACACCCAGGGCUGCACACGUGCUACAAUGGCCGGUACAGAGGGCUGCGAGACCGCGAGGUUCAGCAAAUCCCUUAAAGCUGGCCCCAGUUCGGAUUGCAGUCUGCAACUCGACUGCAUGAAGUUG